rnacentral:rRNA from 1 species
AUUCACGGAGAGUUUGAUCCUGGCUCAGAACGAACGCUGGCGGCGUGGAUAAGGCAUGCAAGUCGAGCGCGAAAGUUCCCUUCGGGGGAUGAGUAGAGCGGCAAACGGGUGAGUAACACGUGGGCAAUCCACCUUUGGGUGGGGGAUAACUCCGGGAAACCGGUGCUAAUACCGCAUAAUGUUGGAUAAUCGCAUGUUUAUCCAACCAAAGGGGGGGAUCUUCGGACCUCCCGCCUGAUGAGGAGCCCGCGCCUGAUUAGCUAGUUGGCAGGGUAACGGCCUACCAAGGCGAUGAUCAGUAGCCGGUCUGAGAGGAUGGCUGGCCACACUGGGAUUGAGAUACGGCCCAGACUCCUACGGGGGGCAGCAGUCUAGAAGCUUCGGCAAUGGGCGAAAGCCUGACCGAGCGACGCCGCGUGCAGGACGAAGGCCUUCGGGUUGUAAACUGCUUUCGACAGGGAUGAACGGUAAUAGCGCUAAUACCUCUAUUAUUUGACAGUACCUGGAGAAGAAGCCCUGGCUAACUCCGUGCCAGCAGCCGCGGUAAUACGGAGAGGGCAAGCGUUGUUCGGAUUUAUUGGGCGUAAAGCGCGUGUAGGCGGCGCGGUAAGUCGGAUGUUAAAGACCCACGGCUCAACCGGGGGAAUGCGUCCGAUACUGCCGUGCUAGAGUGCGGGAGAGGAAAGUGGAAUUCCAGGUGUAGCGGUGAAAUGCGUAGAUAUCUGGAGGAACACCGGUGGCGAAGGCGGCUUUCUGGCCCGCAACUGACGCUGAGACGCGAAAGCGUGGGGAGCGAACGGGAUUAGAUACCCCGGUAGUCCACGCCGUAAACGUUGGAUACUAGGUGUGGGAGGUUUUCUACCCCUUCUGUGCCGCAGCUAACGCAUUAAGUAUCCCGCCUGGGGAGUACGAUCGCAAGAUUGAAACUCAAAGGAAUUGACGGGGGCCCGCACAAGCGGUGGAGCAUGCGGUUUAAUUCGAUGCAACGCGAAGAACCUUACCAGGGCUUGACAUCACCGCAAGGGACCAUGCCAUUAUAGAAAUAUAGUGGCUUAGGUAGACAGGUGUUGCAUGGCUGUCGUCAGCUCGUGUCGUGAGAUGUUGGGUUAAGUCCCGCAACGAGCGCAACCCCUAUCCCUAGUUGCCAGCGAUUCGGUCGGGAACUCUAGGGAAACUGCCGGUUUCAAGCUGGAGGAAGGUGGGGACGACGUCAAGUCAUCAUGGCCCUUAUGUCCUGGGCUACACGCGUGCUACAAUGGCCGGUACAGAGGGCUGCGAUACCGCAAGGUGGAGCUAAUCCCUUAAAACCGGUCUCAGUUCAGAUUGGGGGCUGCAACCCGCCCCCAUGAAGGUGGAAUCGCUAGUAAUCGCGCAUCAGCUACGGCGCGGUGAAUACGUUCCCGGGCCUUGUACACACCGCCCGUCACAUGACCCGAGUUGGCUGCUCCCGAAGUCGCUGACCCAACCCGCAAGGGAGGGAGGCGCCGAAGGAGUGGCUGGUAAGGGGGAUGAAGUCGUAACAAGGUAGCCGUAUCGGAAGGUGCGGCUGGAUCACCUCCUUUCUA